GGCUGGUAUGAGUACAGUAGUGUUUACCACUAGUUGAUCACAACCAGUUUACAGACUUAUUUGUUCCUCCUUCACUCCCACUGCUGCACUUGACUAGCCUACA
ensembl:misc_RNA Y_RNA Y RNA